GACGAACGCUGGCGGCGUGCCUAAUACAUGCAAGUCGAACGCUUCUUUCCUCCCGAGUGCUUGCACUCAAUUGGAAAGAGGAGUGGCGGACGGGUGAGUAACACGUGGGUAACCUACCCAUCAGAGGGGGAUAACACUUGGAAACAGGUGCUAAUACCGCAUAACAGUUUAUGCCGCAUGGCAUAAGAGUGAAAGGCGCUUUCGGGUGUCGCUGAUGGAUGGACCCGCGGUGCAUUAGCUAGUUGGUGAGGUAACGGCUCACCAAGGCCACGAUGCAUAGCCGACCUGAGAGGGUGAUCGGCCACACUGGGACUGAGACACGGCCCAGACUCCUACGGGAGGCAGCGGUAGGGAAUCUUCGGCAAUGGACGAAAGUCUGACCGAGCAACGCCGCGUGAGUGAAGAAGGUUUUCGGAUCGUAAAACUCUGUUGUUAGAGAAGAACAAGGACGUUAGUAACUGAACGUCCCCUGACGGUAUCUAACCAGAAAGCCACGGCUAACUACGUG
rnacentral:rRNA from 1 species